rnacentral:rRNA from 1 species
GAUGAACGCUGGCGGCGUGCCUAAUACAUGCAAGUCGAGCGAACAGACGAGGAGCUUGCUCCUCUGACGUUAGCGGCGGACGGGUGAGUAACACGUGGAUAACCUACCUAUAAGACUGGGAUAACUUCGGGAAACCGGAGCUAAUACCGGAUAAUAUAUUGAACCGCAUGGUUCAAUAGUGAAAGACGGUUUUGCUGUCACUUAUAGAUGGAUCCGCGCCGCAUUAGCUAGUUGGUAAGGUAACGGCUUACCAAGGCAACGAUGCGUAGCCGACCUGAGAGGGUGAUCGGCCACACUGGAACUGAGACACGGUCCAGACUCCUACGGGAGGCAGCAGUAGGGAAUCUUCCGCAGUGGGCGAAAGCUUGACGGAGCAACGCCGCGUGAGUGAUGAAGGUCUUCGGAUCGUAAAACUCUGUUAUUAGGGAAGAACAAAUGUGUAAGUAACUAUGCACGUCUGGACGGUACCUAAUCAGAAAGCCACGGCUAACUACGU